ACAGCCACAUCACGUUGAAGCACCGUUUCCCAUGCGAUCACCAAAGUUAAGCAACCUGGAGCCCGGUCAAUAACUAGAUGAGUCACUGCUUGUGAAUACCAGGUGCUGUCAG